rnacentral:rRNA from 1 species
GACGAACCGUGCGAACGUUGUUCGGAAUCACUGGGUUUAAAGGGCGCGUAGGCGGGCUGUCAAGUCGGUGGUGAAAUCUUUCAGCUUAACUGGAAAAUGGCCUUCGAUACUGGCGGUCUGGAGGAAGGUAGGGGCAUGCGGAACUUCCGGUGGAGCGGUGAAAUGCGUAGAUAUCGGAAGGAACACCGAUGGCGAAAGCAGCGUGCUGGACCAGCACCGACGUUCAGGCACGAAAGCGUGGGGAGCAAACAGG